rnacentral:tRNA from 1 species
GGGGAUAUAGCUCAGUGGCACAGAGUCUGCCUGGCAAGUGUGAGGUCCUGAGUUCAACUCCCGGUACCCCCC